ACUUUAUAUAAUAACUAUAUAUUUUAAAUUUAUAAUAACAUAUAUUUAACUUAUUAUUAUUUGAUUGGGGCGAUUGAAAUAAAUUUAAACUGUUUUUUAUAUAAAAUAAUUAUCAUUAAUUCAUGAUCCUUUAAUAAAGAUUAUAAGAUUAAGUU
rnacentral:rRNA from 1 species